rnacentral:rRNA from 1 species
GACGAACGCUGGCGGCGUGCUUAACACAUGCAAGUCGAACGGUAAGGCCCUUCGGGGUACACGAGUGGCGAACGGGUGAGUAACACGUGGGUGAUCUGCCCUGCACUUCGGGAUAAGCCUGGGAAACUGGGUCUAAUACCGGAUAGGACCACUGCCUGCAUGGGUGGUGGUGGAAAGCUUUUGCGGUGUGGGAUGGGCCCGCGGCCUAUCAGCUUGUUGGUGGGGUGAUGGCCUACCAAGGCGACGACGGGUAGCCGGCCUGAGAGGGUGACCGGCCACACUGGGACUGAGAUACGGCCCAGACUCCUACGGGAGGCAGCAGUGGGGAAUAUUGCACAAUGGGCGCAAGCCCGAUGCAGCGACGCCGCGUAAGGGAUGACGGCCUUCGGGUUGUAAACCUCUUUCAGCACCGACGAAGCGCAAGUGACGGUAGGUGCAGAAGAAGGACCGGCCAACUACGUGCCAGCCGCCGCGGUAA